GACGAACGCUGGCGGCGUGCCUAACACAUGCAAGUCGAACGGAGUAAUGAUUUCGGUUAUUACUUAGUGGCGAACGGGUGAGUAACGCGUGAGAAACCUGCCUUUCAGUGGGGGACAACAGUUGGAAACGACUGCUAAUACCGCAUAAUGUUAUUUGGGGGCAUCCCUGAAUAACCAAAGAUUUAUUGCUGAAAGAUGGUCUCGCGUCUGAUUAGCCAGUUGGCGGGGUAACGGCCCACCAAAGCGACGAUCGGUAGCCGGACUGAGAGGUUGAACGGCCACAUUGGGACUGAGACACGGCCCAG
rnacentral:rRNA from 1 species